rnacentral:lncRNA from 1 species
UUGAAGUAGAAUGAUCCCGAUUGCUUUAUUGUUGCUUGUGUGAUUGGUUGGCUUACUUUUUCAGAGGUGUUAUGGGAUUUAGAGGUUUGCCUUCUUUUGAUGCCCCUCUUUGUUUUCCAGCGUGUGGGGAUAGGAUGAGUCAUGAGGUAUCGUCGAGCUCUAGACAUUAAAUUAAGCACUUGUUGGGAGGUAACCCAACUGUUUUCUUGUUUUUGUUUUCCUUUUCCUUUUUCGUUGGUUCUUUUUGUUUUCUUUGUUUUGUUUCUUUUGGAGAGAUAGCAGUUGAGCUUGGAAGAUACUGAUUUUGAGCUUCGUCCAUAUCAUCACCACUGUGGAGCAUAUUUUUUUGUGAGUAGUGACACACAUAUCAUCAUCCCUCCAAACUUAUUUUCGAACUUAUGUUCUGUAAUUAGGGGUGUAAACGAACCAAGCCGCUCGCGAACUAUUCGGGGCUCGGCUCGAAAAAAGCUCGUUCGAAAUUCGUUCGUUUUCUAAACGAGCCGAACUCGAGCCCAAAUCCGAGCUCGAUAAAAUUAUCGAGCCGAACUUGAGCCUG